UACAGAGGGGGCAAGCGUUGUUCGGAAUUACUGGGCGUAAAGGGCGCGUAGGCGGCCUGCUAAGUCGAACGUGAAAUCCCCGGGCUCAACCCGGGAACUGCGUCCGAUACUGACAGGCUUGAAUCCGGGAGAGGGAUGUGGAAUUCCAGGUGUAGCGGUGAAAUGCGUAGAUAUCUGGAGGAACACCGGUGGCGAAGGCGGCAUCCUGGACCGGUAUUGACGCUGAUGUGCGAAAGCUAGGGGAGCGAACGGG
rnacentral:rRNA from 1 species